rnacentral:tRNA from 1 species
GGUAAAAUGGCUGAGAAUUAGGCGAUAGAUUGUAAAUUUAUUUAGGAGGAGUAACCUCUUUUACCA